UGAGGAGAAAGAUCCCUUAUAAUAAUAAAGAAAGUUAAGUUUCGCUCUUAGAAGUUUGUAUCUCGUGUGUGGUAGUAGUUAGGAUUAAAAGCCUAACUAGCUAUACGCACGUAGUCGUAACUGAAAGGUUGAUCGACCACAGUGGGCCUGAAGAAAGCCCAUGACGAUUGUCACAGCAGUGAGGAAUAUUGGUCAAUAGCCUAACGGCUGAACCAGCAACUUGGAGGAAUGUAUAGCAAUAGCUACUUGCAUCUUUGUAAAUAUGAUGCAAGAUCGACUAUGUCGAAUAAAAUUCUAGGUAGAAUUAUGAUAAUGACAUUGUCUGCCUAUGUGUCUUGACCAAAUUACGUGCCAGCCGUCGCGGUAAUACGUAGAAGACUAGUGUUAUUCAUGUUUAAUCGGUUUAAAGGGUACCUAGACGGUAAAUCAAGCCUACAAAUAAAAGAAAUGAAGGGACUAAUUUGCUAGAGUUACUUGUGAGGGGGUAUUAAAGUACUGCUGGUGUAGAGAUGAAAUUCUGUCAUACCUCUUUUCAAUAGAAAAAUAAUGGCACAGGUAUAGGCGAAGGCAUCCCCUUAUGUGAUAACUGACGUUGAGGGACGAAGGCUUUGUGUAGCGAACAGGAUUAGAUACCCCAGUAGUCAAAGCAGAAAAUGAUGAAUGUCAUAGAUUAGAUAAAUAAGUUUAUUCUAUAAAUGAAAGUGUAAGCAUUCCACCUCAAGAGUAAUUUGGCAACAUUGGAACUGAAAUCAUUAGACCGUUUCUGAAACCAGUAGUGAAGUAUGUUGUUUAAUUUGAUGAUCCGCAAAAAACCUUACCACAAUUUGAAUAUUUAUAUUUUUUUUAUUGUUUUAUUUUUAAGGCAAUAAGAUAUAUUUACAAGCGUUGCACGGCUGUCUUCAGUUAAUGUCGCGAGACUCUGGUUAGUUCCAUGAAAUUAACGUAAACCCUUACUUUAUUUUUAUAUAGAGUAGUUCCCCGCUAUAUUGGAUAUGAUAACAGGGACUAAGACAAG
rnacentral:rRNA from 1 species